CCGUAGAUACAGUAACUUUCCAUCAUAACAAAUAUGGCGGACGUGUCAGUUACGGUACAUUUUGGAAAACUUCAAAUGAACGUUUUCUAUGUAAAUAGAUAUGAACGAAAGGCUGGACACAUUUGAGAACCUCACGAACAUUGAGGUUGUAAGAAGAUAUCGGUUAGAUAAGGAUGGCAUCGAUCGCCUUAAUCAAGAAUAUGGUGAACGUUUAUCACCUAAAACACUUGGGCCAAAGAAUGUCUCUUCUUUAGAGAAAAUCCUUAUCACCCUACGCUAUUUUGCUCCGGUGAUUUCCAGAUAAAUGAUGGUAACAUUCAUAAUUUGUCGCAGCCAUCAGUGUCAAGGGCUGUGACACAGUUCACUGAGAUGCUCGCUAGCAGGGAAACUACAUCAAGAUUUAUAUUGUUCCCUCUAAAUAUGCAUGAUGUCAGCAGGGUAAAGACGGAUUUCCAAGGCAUAGCCAACUUUCCAAAUGUUGUUGGCGUUGUGGAUGGCACUCAAGUGCAGAUGUGCAGGAUGCAUAUGUCAAUAGAAUGGGAUAUCAUUCUAUCAAUACCCAGAGCUCACAUAAUAACAAGAUCAAAAGUCGAAAGGGGAAUAGGCCAACUGAAAAGAAGAUGGGGAGUGCUGCAUGGCGAAAUUCGUUUGAAACCUGAAAAGGCUUGCCAGUAAGUAAUUAAUUUAUUUCCCAAAAACAAAACAUUAUUUUUAGUUUCAUGGAAGUCCCUCAUUACCGAAAAUCAAGUUAAGGCGGAAAGUGUUGUCCCUGAUUAGCCUGUGCGGACUGCACUGGCUAAUCUGGGACGACACUUUUGCUCAUGCAUUAUGCCUAGUUUUCUCAGAACAAGACACAUAUAAUUGUAUGUGUUAGGAAAUGUUUUCAAACAAAAUGCAGAUAUUUCAUGUGAACAAAAGUGUUUUCAUUGUAAAAAAUAAAUUAAAUUUUCAUUACAACAAAUGCUAUUUUGAAAAGUUUUGAAUUUUUUCUAUAGACUAAGGAUUUUGAUAUUAACUAAAAUAAAAGCUUAUGAUCAAAAUGAAAAUUAAACAUGUAUGGUGACAUCACCUCGAGUUGGUCAUUGUCGUGACAGCUGCAGUGACACCUGACAAAGACAAUUCAUUUGUCAUACUUUGACAUAUGUACAAGACUGAGCAAAUAAAUGUACUUUGGGUUAUAGAGUUAAUUUAUUAUCAUUCAAUAAGUGGAGAAGUGUUAAUCUUUUUGAUACCCUUUGUUGUAAAAAAAUAUUUUGUACAAAGUAACAAUGGUAUUUACUAUUUUUUUUACAAUGAGUUAUUCUUUUGUUUGAUUGAUAGGGGUAGAGUGGGGACGGGUACUGGUAAGACUGGUGUAGAUUUUUGUUUAAACAACCUUCUAAAAUAAAUAUUUUUAUUAUUUAUAAGACCUAAUGGAUGUGUGGUUAAAAUUAUGUAACCACAUUUAUGAAUUCUUUUUAUGUCCCCCACUAUAGUAGUGGGGGACAUAUUGUUUUUGCCCUGUCUGUUGGUCUGUCUGUCUGUUUGCGCCAACUUUAACAUUUUGCAAUAACUUUUGCUAUAUUGAAGAUAGUAACUUCAUAUUUGGCAUGCAUGUGUAUCUCAUGAAGCUGCACAUUUUGAGUGGUGAAAGGUCAAGGUCAUCUUUCAAGGUCAGAAGUCAAAUAAAUGUGGCCCUUAUCGCUUAUUUUAUAAAUACUUUUGCAAUAUUGAAGAUAGCAACUUGAUAUUUGGCAUGCAAGUGCAUGUCAUGGAGCUGCACAUUUUGAGUGGUGAAAGGUCAAGGUCAAUGUCAUCCUUCAAGGUCAGAGAUCAAAUAUAUGUGGCCCAAAUCGCUUAUUUUAUGAAUACUUUUGCAAUAUUGAAGAUAGCAACUUGAUAUUUGGCAUGCAUGUGUAUCUCAUGGAGCUGCACAUUUUGAGUGGUGAAAGGUCAAGGUCAUCCUUCACAAUGUCAAAGUCAUCCUACAAGGUCAAACAUCAUAUAGGGGGACAUUGUGUUUCACAAACACAUCUUGUUCAAUCAUAAAUGAGUUUUAUUUUUGAUUUAUUUUAAACUUGUUACCUCAGUGUAAUGACUAUUCAAACAACUAAAUUUUUGAAGGUGUAUUGUUACACCAUUACCAAUAGGUUUUUACUUUACAACAAAAUUAAACAAAAGCAACAUUGUUAAAAAUGACAUGAUAGUCUCAAUUUUUUUGAUACUUUACAUGAAGAGGACUUUAUUUUCAAAGUGAUAUAUAAGGCAUAUGAACAAAACAAUGAGUACUUAUUUUAACGGUAUUAAAGCAUUAACAUUUAUAAUAUUCUUUUCCUUAUAUAUUUGUUUAUUUCUAUUCUCAUUUUGCAAUUAAUUGAUGACUACCCGAGGCUGUUUGCUAUAAACACUGUAUUAUGCAAUAAAGAAUAUGGUAUGGUAUGGUACCUGUCAAUGCACGGUCUCUUAUGUAAUCUGUAUAAAUGAGACGGUGCUUGGCAACCAUGUUUAGCCACUUUUUUUCCAGCUUUUCUGCCGUCCUGUUUUUAGUUGCUUUUUGAUUGAACUUAGUUUAAACCAUCUCCCACAUCUGCUUGUUUGUUUGACUUGUUAUUCCAGUUAUUAAAUACAUAACUUGUAUUCAUUAAACAAUCACUUACUAUGUACAUAGCUUUGAUUGCUUUAUAUUGGCUUAACCGGUAUAUGUAGCAACUAAUGCAAAUAAAUUGGUGUCAAGA